rnacentral:rRNA from 1 species
ACGCUCGACACCUACGGGAGACAGCAGUGGGGAAUAUUGGGCAAUGGGCGCAAGCCUGACCCAGCAACGCCGCGUGAAGGAAGAAGGCCCUCGGGUUGUAAACUUCUUUUGUCAGGGACGAAGCAAGUGACGGUACCUGACGAAUAAGCCACGGCUAACUACGCGCCAGCAGCCGCGGUAAUCUGAGCGGGCUGGCAAGGC